rnacentral:rRNA from 1 species
UACGUAGGGGGCGAGCGUUGUCCGGAUUUAUUGGGCGUAAAGAGCUCGUAGGCGGUUUGGCAAGUCGGGUGUGAAAACUCCGGGCUCAACUCGGAGACGCCACUCGAUACUGCUAUGACUCGAGUCCGGUAGGGGAGUGCGGAAUUCCUGGUGUAGCGGUGAAAUGCGCAGAUAUCAGGAGGAACACCGGUGGCGAAGGCGGCACUCUGGGCCUGUACUGACGCUGAGGAGCGAAAGCGUGGGGAGCGAACAGG